CUGAUAUCAGGCCCCGAGUGUUUAAGGAGAUGUCUUUGUUCUGUUACAGCAGGCCCUCGAGGUGGUUUGUCAUCCCCUUUUCUGGAGGUCUUUGUCUGGGACUGUUUCUCAGGUGGGCAUUGCUGCCCUCAGUAGAAGAUGGGAGAGUGCUGCAUCUGAGAUGCUUCAUGCAUGAGAGAGGCAGAUGUGCAGCACAGGCCCUGAGGGAGGAUGUCGCCAGAGCAGGAGCACUACCAGCCAUGGGUCAGCUGAGUGUGAGGAGAUGUCCAGAUCCAGCAACAGAAAUGCCCUCUCAGGGGUUUGUGUGGGCUCACUGGAGAGGGGUGGCACUUGCUGAUGUCCCCAUAGCUCAUCAGAGAAGUGGAUGCCUCAAGACUGGGGAAAAGCACCAUGGCACUCACAGCGCUGCAGCAAGCUGAUGCCAGGGUCCUCACCCAGGUGUUUCCACAGAAAAACGGAGCAUGGUGCCACUGGUCCCAGCUGGGAGCAGGGCACAGUCCCAAAGAGCCGUGAAUCUCACAUCUCCCAAACCUCAGAGGAGCUGGGGACAUCCCUGGGCCACAGUGUGGGAAGGAGCUGAGGAGGAGGAGGAUCUCUGAUGGGGCCAUGAAGCCAAAACCCACAAUGGUUGGUAGGAUGCUCUUUGCUGGCUGCCAGGGGCAUCUGCAGCCAGAAAUCCAGCCCAGCACCUGCACAAGACUCUCGCUGUCAGAAACAGAGAAGUUUCUAUGAUGGGAGGGACCAUGGGCUUGAAAGCACCUGGGAAAGCAUUAGCAGGACCAAGGGAAUGUUGGAGCCUUUGGAUGCAGUUAUUCCUGCCUCCCACAGGGCCAGUGGGCACAGAGGUGGCUGUGGUGUGAAGUGCAGGUGCCUGAGUACAUGGGGUGCAUGGCUCUGCUAAAGGAGCUCGACAAAAGGCAUCAAAACAGUUUCCUUGAGAAUCAGAAGUGUCCAGACACAGCUGAAGGCACUGAGCCACUUGACUGUAAUGGAGUCAAUUUUCUCCUCCAAAGUGCAGCAUAUAAACCUUUUUAUAGCCAUGCACCAGCAGAGCUAUUUUUAUUCCCUGCCAGCUGUUGAAAGCCAUUUCUGUGGCUCCCUCUCCAUGCCCUUGCCCACCAUCCCACAGUCAUCAUUUCAUUGCCUGCUUGAGCACUUGGGACCUGAAUGACAAAGAAACAGAAGGUUAUCACUCCACUCUGGCACUGCUUUGGGGCCAGGAAGGAAUUCUGUAUGGCUGGGGGCUGGCAGGAGAUGGGGAGGGGGGCAGUGGCAGCAGUCACGUGUGGCAGGGCUCUCCCCAUGUCCCUCCAUCAGGAGGUCUGCUCUGUGGGGUUACAACAACAAUGAGCUGGGCCUUUGCGUGGUGAGAAAAGCAGCAGGGUCCAAGGGAAAAGCAGGCACACUGACAGAAGACCC
rnacentral:lncRNA from 1 species